GAUGAACGCUAGCUACAGGCUUAACACAUGCAAGUCGAGGGGUAACGAGAGGAAAGCUUGCUUUCCUUGUCGACGACCGGCGCACGGGUGAGUAACGCGUAUCCAACCUGCCCCCAACUAGGGAAUAACCUUGCGAAAGUAAGACUAAUACCCUAUAAUUUCCUCAGAUGUCAUCUGACGAGGAAUAAAGAUUUAUCGGUUGUGGAUGGGGAUGCGUCUGGUUAGCUUGUUGGCGGGGUAACGGCCCACCAAGGCAACGAUCAGUAGGGGUUCUGAGAGGAAGGUCCCCCACAUUGGAACUGAGACACGGUCCAAACUCCUACGGGAGGCAGCAGUGAGUAAUAUUGGUCAAUGGGCGGAAGCCUGAACCAGGCAAGUAGCGUGCAGGAUGACGGCCCUAUGGGUUGUAAACUGCUUUUAUACAGGAAUAAAGUUAGCCACGUGUGGUUAUUUGUAGGUACUGUAUGAAUAAGGACCGGCUAAUUCCGUGCCAGCAGCCGCCGUAA
rnacentral:rRNA from 1 species